UAAUGUUACAUAUCUUUGAGAAUUUGUCUAGCAGGUUUUCUGGUUGCUACUGGAAAGCCUUU
rnacentral:snRNA from 1 species